GGUUAUUGUGCUGAAGGUUCUGUGUUUGAAUCUCUAUGGGAGCAAGGGUGUUAAUUUUUGUUUCAGUUGGCUGAGGGAGUUUGAAUGGUCUUGAAAUUUUGAGGUAGUUUAGGUUGAGUGUUAGUGGGAAGUUAAGAUAUUGUGGGGGGUUUUAUUUUGAUUAUAUUUUAUUCUUUUUUCAAAAUUUUCUUUCUCUUCUCAAAUUUCCCUCUAAUGUUAUUCUUCAAGUUUUUUUUUUUGUUUCUGACAUUUUUCCCUUCUCGGUAAAUCUUUGUUUCAUUCUUCUUCUUCGAUUUUGUUGGUGAAUCUAUCGUUCAAUCGUGCCAUUGGAUUUGUUUGGGUUCUCUAAUCGGUUGUUAAGUAAAGCUUUG
rnacentral:lncRNA from 1 species